GGGGAGUGAACACAAAGUACAUUUGACCACAAAAUGACUCUUUAAAAGUCAGAACUACGGUAGCAUGAAGCCAAACGAGAUUCUACUUCUGCAGGGUUCCACAGAAGUCUCCAAUCUUCAAAUCUUCAGUGUAUGAAAGCACAGAUUCCUGAAAGAAUGGCCUCAAAUGACCAGGAGUAGGAGCUCUCUAUAUCCCUGCUCCUGAAAAACAAGCUAACUGGAGUCUCCAUCACCUGCCACCAGCUAUACACACUACCAACUACCCAACUGAACUCCAUGACUGAUUUGCCAGCUAAUCAUGCCCCUGACCCAGCCCACAUGGACAUGGGAAGGACAUCAGUGAACCGUGAAAAGAGGCAGAGGUGAGGAGACACCUGUCCUGUGCCACACAUCUAUGUAGUUCAGCAAUUUCCAGCCCCUUAGUACUCCAGGGGCUCUAAGCCACCCCUUUGUAAGUCAGGAUGGAAGUAGAUGACACCACAUUUUUAUCUGCUGUAGACAUUCUUCCCAGUGUCUCAAAAUGUUUUGGCAUCUUUCAGUAAAAAUCUUCAAGUUUGUCAGUCCUUGAUUUAAAAAAAAAAAGCAGCAAAAUUUUUAGAGCUCCCUUGAACCUUCUAUUUUAAUGUGCCUUUGUAGAUAAUUCCCAACAUCUUGUGUCCUUCAUUUUUAUAAUUUAUCUUUAUCAAACUUGUCAUAAACCCCAAUACUUUGAUCUCUUGUAGAAGAGUCCGUACUCCUAUCCAGUCCAGUGUUGUUUAUCUUCAAACUUGGACUUCCCCUGCUCAUUCCAUUCUUAUCUACUUCCAUUGGGUUCACCAGCUAAUUCCAUUCUCAUUCUAUCCACAGGCUCACUCCCGUUUGUAUUAUUAAAACACACGCCAAUAGGACAUAAAAAGAAGCAAGAGUACUGGGCUUUACCAUGAGUUCAAAUCUCAUUUCUGCCAAUUCCUAUGUCUAAAAAAAAAAGCUUCCUAAUCUCUUUGAGCCUCACAUUCUCUAUCUAGAGAAUCACUUGACCAGAAUGUUCAAUGCAGAUAAAAAUACUAGAAGGUAUUUUAAUUCAUUCCAAGAUUCCUUAAAAUUCUGUAAUUCUAUGUCCUCUUGAUUCUGUCUAUAGAAAAACUUGGAAUACAUAGGCAGCAGAGUUUGAAAAAAAUAAUAGAACAAAAGAAACACCAAGAAAAACAGAGAAGAAAGUUUUAAAAAAUGAAGACAAGAUUAUAUAAAAGUCAUGGAAAAAGCAACAAGACUAAAAAAUGUAUUAUGGAAGUAAGCAGAAAUACUUGCCUAAAUGGAAAACCAAACUGGGAAGUCAAAUAAUUUGUCUCUAAGACUUGCCUAAACUUGCUUUGGUAAAACUUACAGUCCUAUGGCCAAAGCUAAGUCAGAUCUGCCCUAGAGCCUUUGAAGGUAAAAAUAAGAUACUGGUUACCACUGAAAUCGUCAAAUUUAUUAGGACUAACCACAUUCUAACAAUAAACUUAAAUGAGAGUUCAAGGUAUUUAAACUCUCAUUAAUUUAGAAGUUAAUCAAAUUAAUGAAUCCGAUUGAUCUGAUUCAGACCUAUACUUUGAUCCAAGGACUGCACAGAUAUCUAUCAAUCUAUGCUGAGGAGCAAGAGAAAGGAUUUGGAAGGCAGGUAGGCUGAUGGUCAAACUGUAGGCCAGCUACUUUGUUAACUAUGGGAUCAUGAGGCAAUUAAUCAGCUCUAAUCCAUAGUUGUUUAUUUAACAGUAGGUUAUAGGAACACAGAUGUUAUGAUGGCUUUAUGAGAUGAUAAAUGCAUAGAACAUAUUAGGAUGUCUAGCCCAGAAUACAACACUCAACAGAUAUUAGUUUCUUCCAUCUAUAUUUUCUUAGUUAACAUAAUUUUUUAAAUCUAUGAAAUCUUACCUGACUGCAGAUUCAUCAGGAAUUCCAACAUCUAUUAAAGAAAAAGGUAAAAUGCAUUUUAAAUCAAUAAUAAAUGUACAGAAUAUUAAAAUCAUAAGAAUGCACAGUGAUGCAUGCCUCUAAUCCAAACUACUUGAGAGGAUGAGGCAGGAGGAUCACUUGAGGAGCUCAGAAGUUUGAGACCAGCUUGGGAAACAUAAUAAGACUCUACCUUCAUAAAAAAAUUGUGCACACUUGUGUGUAUGCUUUACAUCCUGUUUGUUGUUGUUGUUGUUGUUGUUGUUGUUUUGGUUUGGUUUGGUUUUUUAAAGCAUAAGACUGACGCUUUGUUACAAAGCAUUCCUUUGGGAGCAUGCCUGGGAUCUUAUUAGAAUUAACAUUCAUUAUACGUAUUGGUAGGUAAUUAAUGCAGUAAGAACUCUUCCCUCUGUGUUUAUUAGAUGCAAAGAAGAAUAAAUUUAUUAAAAUUUGGUAUCUACAAGUGAGCUGCAGUAUACAAGUCAUCCUAGCCAAAGCCUAUGAGAUUGAGUAAAAAUGGUAUUGUUAGCAGAACAGGUGUGAUGAGUCAACAGUGUCAAAGAGCAUGAUUUCUGGACCAAAAUAUGAGGGGCCAUUACAACAGAGUAUACACUAGUACCCCUUAUCCACUAUAUGCGCAGAAAGACAUACUUGACACGUUUUUCUCUGUUGUCACACCACAGCAACAAUCAUCAACAAAGAAGGCUUCUGUGACCAAAUGUGUGGAGAGUUUUUCCCCACCAACAAACAAGCAAUCAUUCCUGCUGAUGACACAAUUCAAUUCUCACACCCUAUCUACAGAUAACAUCAGAUUUAAUUUAAUUUAUAAAUUAAACUUUCUCAUAGAUAUGUAUGUAUAGGGAAAAACAGCUUGUGAUUCAGUACUCUUCAUGGUUUCAUGCAUGCACUGGGGGUCUUGGAAUGUAUCUCCCACAGUUAAGAUGUAGUUACUGCACUUAUUUUGUUAUAACACAACACAGCCUCUCUAGCUCUUCAGUUCAAACUGUUUAGUUUAGAAUUAAACAUGCUAUCGCCAGAAACCAACAAAACAUAGGAAUCAGACCAGAAACAGGAAUCCUUGCAAAGACUUUCCAGCCACCAGUGGAGAAGAUCUCAAGAGAGAUCAGUGUGUUACUCUGGCUAAUACUCUUCUGGGUAAGGUGCUGGGUGGUUUCCUUAGUUGUAGCUAUUUGCUCUGGCCUACGUAUAACAAGGCCCAAAUUCACCUGCCAUUUUACCUCCCACGAAAGAACCACUGGAAAGAUCACUCCGUUAAGAGCUUAUCCACAUUCAGAGAGAAGCUGAAUAAACACUCGGGAGGUAUGGCAGGCUGCCGGGCAAUAUUAUCUGAUGUGAAAAAAUAUAUAGAAAGAAAACUAUCAAUGCCCUUUUACUACCAGAAUGUUCUAAUGCUUGCCCAUCUCCCUAGUAGGAGAAAAAAACUUUUGCACCUCGCAUAAAGCAAAACUCCCUUGUCAUCUCUCAUGACAGAAUCUAGUUGUAGGUGAGUCAUGUCAUCAUAAUACAGGCUGUUGUCAACCUCAUCCCUCAAAGGAAGAGGAUCAGUGAGGAACUUAUGUAUUUACCUAAUAGCAUUCACUGCCUGGUCUUAUUUCCAACCGAAGGUAAGUAUGAAAGACUUUGUGAUUCCAGUUUUAUAAAGCACAACCCUUUGCACUUGUCCCCUUCCAUUGCUAAAAAGUCUAUCUGGACCCACCUCACAGAGCAAGAUGCUCCAGGUUGUGCUGUGUAGUACGGCGUGGUGUCCUUUUCCUCAACCCUUUCUAUUAUGUGCCACAUAUCUAUACAAAUCAUGUUUUCUAAGUAUGUAAAUCAUAUCUCAACAGAAUACAUCAUUCUUUACAAUGAUAAAGAAGCAAAAGAAAAACAAAAGGACAAAGAACAUCUUAAAUGACUACAUUCAACUGCCAUGGAGCUUUAAUUUUUUAACUACUCAAAAAGAUAUCCAUUCUUCUUAUUCCAACUAUAUGACUCUUCUGAAAAAAGUAAAACUAUGAAGACAGAGUAAACAUCAAUUGUUGUCACGAGUUGCUAGGGAGAAAGGGAGAGAUGAACAGGCAUAGCACAGAGAAUUUUUAGGGCGGUGAAACUGUUCUGUCGAUAAUAUUACAGUAAUAGAUACAUGUCAUGUCAUUAUACAUUUGUCCAAAUUCACAGAAUGUACAGCAUCAAGAGUGAGGCCUGAUGUAAACUAUGAACUUCAAGUGAUUAUGUCAAUGUAAGUUCAUCAGUUGUAACAAAUGGACCACUCUCUGGUGGAAAAUAUUAAUAAUGGGGGAGGCUAUGCGUGUGUGGGAGGCAUGGGAUAUAUGAGAAAUCUCUGUACCUUCCUCUCAAUUUUGCUGUGAACCUAAAACUACUCUAAGAAAUAAGGUUAUUGAUUUAAAAAAAAUAUUCAGCUGGGCUCAGUGGCUCAUGCCUGUAAUCUCAGCACUUUGGGAGGCAAAAGUGGGUG
rnacentral:lncRNA from 1 species